rnacentral:rRNA from 1 species
UGGGGAAUUUUGCACAAUGGGGGAAACCCUGAUGCAGCGACGCCGCGUGAUUUAGAAGGCCUUCGGGUUGUAAAAAUCUUUUCUAUGGGAAGAAAAUGACAGUACCAUAGGAAUAAGGACCGGCUAAUUACGUGCCAGCAGCCGCGGUAAUACGUAAGGUCCGAGCGUUGUCCGGAAUCAUUGGGCGUAAAGGGUACGUAGGCGGGUAAGCAAGUUAGAAGUGAAAUCCUAUAGCUCAACUAUAGUAAGCUUUUAAAACUGCUCAUCUUGAGGUAUGGAAGGGGAAGUGGAAUUCCUAGUGUAGCGGUGAAAUGCGCAGAUAUUAGGAGGAAUACCGGUGGCGAAGGAGACUUUCUGGCCAUAACCUGACGCUGAGGUACGAAAGCGUGGGUAGCAAACAGG